CAAACUGUUUCCCAAUAAGAUCAUUUUUUCAUCCAAGAAAUAAAGGGGCUGGACACUGGCUUGUAGCAAACAGAGAUACUUUGGAAGAUAGGACAUCAAAAAGGAAAAACAUUUCAGGAUCACGUUUUGAAGUGCACUCUGGGAAACAUGAAAAGAGACAACCAGAGAGUGCUAGCAACUGUUUAGAUGCACAGCUUUUUCUUACACUGUGUUGUGUGGACAAGCCCUCAGACCUCUGUUCUGUUAACAUCAGUGGCCAGC